rnacentral:rRNA from 1 species
GUGGGGAAUAUUGGACAAUGGGCGAAAGCCUGAUCCAGCCAUGCCGCGUGUGUGAAGAAGGUCUUCGGAUUGUAAAGCACUUUAAGUUGGGAGGAAGGGCAGUAAGUUAAUACCUUGCUGUUUUGACGUUACCGACAGAAUAAGCACCGGCUAACUUCGUGCCAGCAGCCGCGGUAAUACGAAGGGUGCAAGCGUUAAUCGGAAUUACUGGGCGUAAAGCGCGCGUAGGUGGUUUUGUAAGUUGGAGGUGAAAUCCCCGGGCUCAACCUGGGAACUGCCUCCAAAACUGCAUGACUAGAGUACGGUAGAGGGUAGUGGAAUUUCCUGUGUAGCGGGGAAAUGCGUAGAUAUAGGAAGGAACACCAGUGGCGAAGGCGACUACCUGGACUGAUACUGACACUGAGGUGCGAAAGCGUGGGGAGCAAACAGGAUUAGAAACCCUUGUAGUCC